AGAGUUUGAUCCUGGCUCAGAUAGAACGCUGGCGGCAGGCCUAACACAUGCAAGUCGAGCGCGAAAGUCUUCGGAUGAGUAGAGCGGCGGACGGGUGAGUAACGCGUAGGAAUCUACCUGGUAGUGGGGGAUAACUCGGGGAAACUCGAGCUAAUACCGCAUACGUCCUGAGGGGGAAAGUGGGGGCUCGCAAGAACCUCACGCUAUCAGAAGAGCCUGCGUUGGAUUAGCUAGUUGGUAGGGUAAAGGCCUACCAAGGCGACGAUCCAUAGCUGGUCUGAGAGGAUGAUCAGCCACACUGGGACUGAGACACGGCCCAGACUCCUACGGGAGGCAGCAGUGGGGAAUAUUGGACAAUGGGGGCAACCCUGAUCCAGCCAUGCCGCGUGUGUGAAGAAGGCCUUCGGGUUGUAAAGCACUUUAAGCAGGGAGGAAGGCUCGUGCGCUAAUACCGUACGGGAUUGACGUUACCUGCAGAAUAAGCACCGGCUAACUCCGUGCCAGCAGCCGCGGUAA
rnacentral:rRNA from 1 species